GGAAAGGAAAAGCUAAAGACAAAUACAGAGGAGAGAGACAGAGACAGAGACAGAGACCGAGAGAGAGAGAGAUUGAACAAAAAAAAAAAGAUUUAUAUUUUGUUGGGGUUGAAAUCUCCUUUCACUCUCUUCUGGCCAUCACUAUCAUUGUCCAUUGUACAGCCUUUUCUUUCUUUCUUUCUUUUUUUUUUACUUGCUCCCAUUCUCUUUCUUUCUCUGUUUCUUUGUUCUCUUUCAGUUCCGCUUCCGUUGAAUCUUUCUCUCUUUCUUUCUCUUUUUUGUCAUCUCGGUUUUGUUGGAAAGGCUUAAUAGCUUAAGCCACACGAGUCUUGAUUUCAAUAUUGUGGGAAAAGUCUGUUUCUUUUUGUUUUGUUUCUUGGGUUUGUGAUCUCUGUUUCUUUUUGUUUUCUGGGUGUUUUGAGUUGUUUGAUUCACAAUGACUGUGGAGGACAAAAGGAGUGGUUCAGUCAAUGAAGAUAAGUUUCCUGUGGGUAUGCGCAUUCUAGCUGUUGAUGAUGACCCAAUUUGCCUUAAAGUUUUAGAGAAUCUGCUUCGGAAAUGCCAGUAUCAGGUUACAACUACUAAUCAAGCAAUCACAGCUCUGAAAAUGCUUAGAGAGAACAGAAACAAGUAUGACUUGGUUAUCAGCGAUGUUAAUAUGCCUGACAUGGAUGGCUUUAAGCUACUUGAGCUUGUGGGGCUUGAAAUGGACCUACCUGUUAUCAUGUUAUCAGCACAUAGUGACAAGGAGCUUGUAUAUAAGGGUGUCACACAUGGCGCUGUUGACUACUUGCUAAAGCCUGUGAGAAUUGAGGAACUCAAGAACAUAUGGCAACAUGUGAUUAGAAGAAAAAAAUUACAACCCAAGGACCAAAACAGGUCUCCAAAUCAAGCCGACAAAUCUCUUGAUGGAGCAGGAGAAGGUGGACAAGGAGUAUCUUCAAGCAGUAGCGCUGAUCAGAAUGGAAAAGUGAAUCGGAAAAGAAAGGACCAAGAUGAAGAAGACGAAGAAGAAGGUGAAGAGAAUUUACAUGACAAUGAGGAACCAGGAACUCAGAAGAAGCCCCGAGUUGUUUGGUCUGUGGAGCUGCAUAGGAAGUUUGUUGCAGCUGUGAAUCAAUUGGGUCUUGACAAAGCUGUUCCGAAGAAAAUUCUUGACCUUAUGAAUGUGGAAGGGCUUACAAGGGAAAAUGUGGCAAGCCAUCUCCAGAAAUAUAGGCUUUAUCUGAAAAGAAUCAGUAGUGUAGCAUCCCAGCAAGCCAACAUGGUUGCUGCAUUUGGGGGUAAAGAUUCUUCUUAUUUGCGCAUGGGUUCACUGGAUGGAUUUGGAGAUUUUCGCACCUUGAGUGGACCGGGAAGGCUUUCAAGCACAUCCAUAUCAUCAUAUCCUGCUGGGGGUAUGCUUGGCAGAUUGAACUCCCCUGCUGGUCUAACGUUGCGAGGUAUAGCUUCUUCUGGUCUUCUCCAGUCAGGUCAUUCCCAAACCCUGAAUACUUCUGCUAAUACUCUCGGAAAGCUUCAUCAGCCGGCUCUUUUGCCUGCGAGUCAAGGCACUAAUCUGUUUCAAGGUGUUCCAUUGUCAGUGGAGCCCAAUCAGCUGCAGGGAAAAUCCAGUACCCUCAUUGGAGAUUUUAAUCGCAGCGAUGAUGCAGCAGGCUUUACACUUGCAACUAGCUUCUCAGAUGCCAGAACCACUGUUGGUAGCUUGAAUAAUACUGUGUCCACUCCCACAAGUAACCCACUGAUGCUACAAGUAAACCCUCAACAAAGUCAAAAUAGGGGAGCAUUUGCAACUCAAUCUUCUUUAAGUGUCCCUCCAUUGUAUCAGGAGUCUUUUGAUGUUGGUGUUCAUGGUACUUCAAAUUUUCUGGAUCAUAGUAGAUGUACUGAAAAUUGGCAGGGAGCAGUUCAAUUGUCCAAAUUUCAGACAAAUUCUUUGCCUUUGAGUGAACCAUUUAGUCAUGAUCCAUUAUCCAAUAGUAACUUAAGAGACAAUAUUUCAUCCACCAGCUCCCAGAUUGGUAACAGCCCGAAUGACUUUUCUUCUUCCAAUAUGCUUGCCACACCUUUAGAUUCCAGAGUAGACAUGCAAGGGCAAACAGACUUGAUUGGUAACGUUGUUCAGAACCUGAAUUUUAAUUCAAGACAGAGGUGGGAAGAUCAUAGUCAGGAUUAUAACCCCAACCUAAUCAACUCAUUUGGCAACGCAAACUCAAUGGUAUCUAGCAAUGGUGUUGUGGUUUCAUGGAAUCAAGGUGUGGAGCAAAGAAAGAAGUUUGAUAUGCCAUUGGCGGGCCAAUUAAACAAUGUAACUCCAUCUAUUUUCCAGCAUGCCGAGGUUGAGAAAUCUGCCUUAGACCCAAAAAUGAGGCCCAAUGAGAACUAUCUUUUGGAGCAGACAAAGUCUCAGAAUGGUUUUGCUCAAAACAACUAUGAUUCUUUGGAUGACAUAAUGAAUGCGAUGAUCAAACGGAGUCUGUAAUAUAACAUUUCGGACUCGACCUUCUGCCUUCUGAGCCACUGCAACUUACCUACUGAUAAGCUUCUUUCAUCAGGAGCAAAAUGAGUCAAUGCUAAUGGAUGGAGAGUUUGGAUUUGAUGCAUACUAUAGCUGAUUUGUGGAGAAACAGGGUAGCCAAAACACCAAACUCCUCUUCUCAAGGAAUUUGUAUCAUCUUGUAAUCUAUAUUCUAACUUUCUUUUAACCACAUCUUCCCUUUUGCUGCCCUCUUCUCAAUCUACUUUCUUCUUCUUUCUUUGUUAUUCUCUGAUGCUAUAGUUAAUUAUUGCUUAAUAGUGAUAGUAUAAUUCCUAGUUUCCAA